AUAUUGGUCGAUGGGCGAUGGCCUGAACCAGCCAAGUAGCGUGAAGGAUGACGGCCCUAUGGGUUGUAAACUUCUUUUAUAAAGGAAUAAAGUCGGGUAUGCAUACCCGUUUGCAUGUACUUUAUGUAUAAGGAUCGGCUAACUCCGUGCCAGCAGCCGCGGUAAUACGGAGGCUCCGAGCGUUAUCCGGAUUUAUUGGGUUUAAAGGGAGCGUAGAUGGAUGUUUAAGUCAGUUUUGAAAGUUUGCGGCUCAACCGUAAAAUUGCAGUUGAUACUGGAUGUCUUGAGUGCAGUGGAGGCAGGCGGAAUUCGUGGUGUAGCGGGGAAAUGCUUAGAUAUCACGAAGAACUCCGAUUGCGAAGGCAGCCUGCUAAGCUGCAACUGACAUUGAGGCUCGAAAGUGUGGGUAUCAAACAGG
rnacentral:rRNA from 1 species